rnacentral:rRNA from 1 species
AGACCCGAAACCCGGUGAUCUAGCCAUGGGCAGGUUGAAGGUUGGGUAACACUAACUGGAGGACCGAACCGACUAAUGUUGAAAAAUUAGCGGAUGACCUGUGGCUGGGGGUGAAAGGCCAAUCAAACCGGGAGAUAGCUGGUUCUCCCCGAAAGCUAUUUAGGUAGCGCCUCGUGAAUUCAUCUCCGGGGGUAGAGCACUGUUUCGGCUAGGGGGCCAUCCCGGCUUACCAACCCGAUGCAAACUGCGAAUACCGGAGAAUGUUAUCACGGGAGACACACGGCGGGUGCUAACGUCCGUCGUGAAGAGGGAAACAACC